CUGCGAAGAGCUGAGGCUGGAAAUCCCCCCACCCCCCGCCCUCCUCCCUGCCUGGCUCCCUCCCUCCCUCGCCUCCCCCCUCCGCCCUCCUCCCUCCGCCCUUCCUCCCCAGUGUUUGUUUCAAGCUUGUGCAAGCGGGAGGUGGAGGCGGAGGGAGGGCGCGCGCGGCCGGGCCGGGAGGUGCGGAAGUUCGCCGCCGCCGCUCAUUGGCGGGCCGCGCCGCUUUCAUCAUUUCUCGGAAAAGUCAAUUUCAUUUUCACUUCCCCACGUCGCGGCAGCAGGAGCAACAAGCGGCUGCUCGAAUAAAAGGAACAAUGAACUGACAAGACAGCAGUACUUCGAUAGUCACGCAAGAACUGGGCCCGCCGAGGACCGGCGACCUUAACCUUAACUGAACCGUCGUCAGGAGUUGAGGGUGUCACCAUUUGGAGGGCUGUCGCCAUCUCUGGCACCACCUGGCGCUCUGUUCCGGAGGGAAGGUGAUAAAAGGGGGUGUCCCCACCCCCACCCCGGGUCGGUCUACAGCAGCACAUGCGAGACCGAGUUAUCGCCGGUGCAACAGAAGUUCCUUUACUGCAGGAGGAGGUGCGCAAGGGUGUGAGUUAAUCUUACAUCCAGAUGGCUUUAUCCUGGCCGGUCCAGGAGAGGGGCUUCGUACUGGGAUGCGUUCGUUCAGCCAGGUUGAGAUUUGGCCCCUUUAACUUAGUAGCUGGGCCUGCUCCCUCAAAGUUGUUCGACCAAAGGCCUCGGUUUUCAAUGCUGUGAAACGGGGAGAAGUGAUAGAACCCAAGAAUACAACUACAGCACCUGCCCCCUUCAGGGUGUGUGAGCUCACACCAGCACAAUUCAUUUGAGACCUACCGCUUUGGGGUCCUUUGCCUUAACAGUGUCAAUUCUCAUCUAAUUAUACCUCUUUCUUCCCUCAACUGCAGUUUAACCAGCCUUCUCCCAACUUCUCUCUGCCACCAAGAAAGACCCUUCCUGGGAGGCCGUAGCUAUUGCAUGUGAACACUUCUAAAAACAUAGCGCCAAAAUCCCUCUUUGCCACUGAAGUAUUGAAUUCUGUGGAUUGGAAGAAAUAAAAGUCUCUCAGUGUGCAUAUGUGAUGAGGAGAUGGCUGAGUGUUUAGGAUUCUGCUUCGUGGCUGUGAUCUCGGAAACAGAUCUCACAUAUGCACAUUGCUUCUUCUUCCCUCUCCUGUAAUACUGUCUGACACAGACACUUGCUUCCUUAUUUCAUAGAACAUUGACCACUCCAGGCACUGAGCGUCCUUAUAGACAAAGUCUGUAGGGCGGCUGUCGCCCUUUACCCACCUAGGGACACAAGUUAAAAACCCAGUAGUCAUUCGUGAUGUCUUCUUUCCCCCAACGUACAUCCAAUGGGUAGCACCCUACUGACCUGUUGAUGCUAAUACAUGUGGGCCUGGCCCCUUCAUCCCCAAUGCACUCCCUGUGACCAGUGAAGGCAGCUGUUGCCAACCAUGCCCACCCUUGGGCUCCUCCGGGUUAGCAGCCACGCUACUGUCCAAUGCAGUAGAAAACUGACUUCAAAUAAAGCAUGAUUCUAACCCUAAUUCUGCUUCUCAUAAACCGCCCUGUAACCUUCAGAAUAAAGUCCAUUUUUUUAUUA